GAUGAAGAACGUAGUGAAAUGCGAUAAGUAGUGUGAAUUGCAGAAUUCAGUGAAUCAUCGAAUCUUUGAACGCACAUUGCGCCCUUUGGUAUUCCUUAGGGCAUGCCUGUUCGAGCGUCAUUUAAACCCUCAAGCUAAGCUUGGUGUUGGGUGACUGUCCGCUUCACGGCGGACUCGCCUCAAAAUUAUUGGCGGCCGGUACAUUGGCUUCGAGCGCAGCAGAAACGCGAACUCGGGCCCGUCGUAUUGGCUCCCAGAAGCUAUCUUCACAAUUUUGACCUCGGAUCAGGUAGGGAUACCCGCUGAACUUAAGCAUAUCAAUAAGCGGAGGA
rnacentral:misc_RNA from 1 species